ensembl:lncRNA
GAGCAGAGCUCUCCAGUGGUCAGACUGUGCAACUGCAGCUGCUCAGGUACACUUUAAAAAUGAAAAUAUAGAAAAAUAAAAAUGUUUAAAUAUUUAAAAAUAUAAAAAAUAGAUGUUUGUGUCAGAGGAAACCAAAGGAGAUGAUCUCAAACUGCUUUCAGACAACAAGAAGAAGCUGAAGCAGGAAGGUGAUGUGCAGGUGAGCAGCCGGUCCGAGUGUCCUGGUGUCUGUGAAGGUCGUGUUUAUUCUGGCAGAUGUUUGAUCACCUGCAGACGUGACUUGGCGUCUCUUUACCGUCAGGCGAGCUGGUUUUGGAGGCAGUUUCUGACACCUCGCCCUCUUAUCCCGAAACAAAUGGCCUGGUUGGAAAAUUAAACCACACAGUCCAGAGGUGCAGUACUGCCAUUUGUAUUGAGUUUUGUGAUUACUUCACAAAACAGCAUAUUUCAGAUAUUUGUCUAAUGCAUAUUCAACCACUGUUGUUGGCCCCACCGUGUUUGACCUCCGCACUAAGACAUGACACUUCGUAAAUGUUCUUGUUUGGCAGAGAGGCAAGGUAUUAGUCACAGAUCCCAAAACAACUGCCAUGUAGGAGGCACAACAGGUUUGCAGCCAGUUUCAGCUACUCUGUGUUAUUCUAGUCCAAUAAGCAAUGGAGAGGUUUGUGAGGGUCCAACUGGUCACCUUGUAGGAAGGUUGUAAUAUUUGUACUUAGGAGAUUCAUAGUUACAUUAAAACACUGCGUGUGGUCUUCGCCCUGCAGCUGGAUCUGCUGAGCAGCCUGUGAGAAGUCGUGGUCCCUCUGACCUGCCAUUUCUACCCCUCCCUCCUCUGUCUAUGUCACAUUUCAUUUGUCACAUACACAAUCACACACAGUACGACAUGCAGUGAAAUGCUUAUUGCUGUGCAAUUCUGACCGUUAAAAAUACAAGAAGAACCUAAAAUUAAAAAGAUGUGCUACUUUGACAGCAAACAGUUGAAAACAGCUGCGGGUGCAUUACUGAAGUGCUUUAUUUUGUUAUUAAAUUCAUGUGAGGUGGUGUGUAGAGAGUCCAGUCCUACGCCUGGUUCAGGGCCCUAAAGCCUGGGGGAGAAGCUCCUCCUCGGUGUCUCUGUGUCGGCCUUUUGGGAGCGGAGGCGCUUCCGUGACCCCAACAGUGAGGAGAGUCUUGUCGGGCUGGGAGGGAUCUUCCUGGCUUUGGUGCUGCACCGCUCUGUGUAUACAAGGGGUAUCGAGCUCCAGGAUGGUCUCUGGGCUGUGACUUAAAGACAGUUUAGUUUUUGGAGGAUACUUGCCUGUGUUCGCCUAUCUGUCCAGGAAACCUGUGGAGCAGUUUUGGAAACAUUUCGGGAGACGCUGUGGAGAGAGGCUGGGUGUUGGAUUGCUGCACUGGGAGCUGGGAUUAACACCGCUGUGGACAUCAUGUUUGGGUACUAUUAUUGCGUCUUGCUCACCUGUAAAUAAACUCACUGUCUUUGUGACUGAGUCCUGUUUUUCUGCCUGUCGGUAAACCUGACAGAGAGUCCUUGUAAGCAAUCUUCAGACACGACCGUGGGACUUGGCGCUCCUCUCUGCCUGGGUGUCACUUCUUAAGGUGACAGAUCGGUGCUACUCCCUCCCUCAGUCAUGUCUCCCUGUCAAGUCCGCAUCUCUGUGUUGGGUUUCCUGUUUUACUUUGACAAU